rnacentral:rRNA from 1 species
AAAUGAAUAGACGGGGGCCCGCACAAGCGGUGGAGCAUGUGGUUUAAUUCGAAGCAACGCGAAGAACCUUACCAAGGCUUGACAUGGAACCGACAGGAUUAGAAAUAAUCCCUCCCUGCGGGGCGGUUCACACAGGUGGUGCAUGGUUGUCGUCAGCUCGUGUCGUGAGAUGUUGGGUUAAGUCCCGCAACGAGCGCAACCCUUAUCUUUAGUAGCCAGUGGGUAAAGCCAGGCACACUAGAGAGACUGCCGCGGAUAACGCGGAGGAAGGCGGGGAUGACGUCAAAUCAUCAUGCCCCUUAUGUCUUGGGCUACACACGUGCUACAAUGGCUGAAACAAAGCGAAGCAAGACGGCGACGUCGAGCAAAACGCAAAAAAGCAGUCCCAGUUCGGAUUGUAGCCUGCAACCCGGCUACAUGAAGUCGGAAUCGCUAGUAAUCGCGAAUCAGCAUGUCGCGGUGAAUACGUUCCCGGGCCUUGUACACACCGCCCGU